UACGGGGGGGCAAGCGUUGUUCGGAAUUACUGGGCGUAAAGGGCUCGUAGGCGGCCAACUAAGUCGGAUGUGAAAUCCCCAGGCUUAACCUGGGAACUGCAUCCGAUACUGGAUGGCUUGAAUCCGGGAGAGGGAUGCAGAAUUCCAGGUGUAGCGGUGAAAUGCGUAGAUAUCUGGAGGAAUACCGGUGGCGAAGGCGGCAUCCUGGACCGGCAUUGACGCUGAGUGAGCGAAAGCUAGGGAGCAACGGGG
rnacentral:rRNA from 1 species